CAGACAAAAAUCUUCCAACUAAGAAACCCCCCUUUGCUGUUUCUGGCCACCUGCGGGGCCGCAUCCUGCCAAGUGCUCAGCAGUCCCAGCACCUCCUGGGGCCGCGCUGCAGGCUGAGGCCACGCGAGCGUUAAGCAUUAACCCUCGACAAUGUAGGGCAGGUGUGCGCCGCACCCCCCAAGGGAAGCUCUCCUCAGGGCUCAAACAUACAGCCUUUCCUGAAGCUGCUACCAGUUCAAACAGCCUCUACGCGGAUUGUAAGCGGUGUUUGAACAGCCCGUGCUCGGAGCCUCUAGCUGGAACCGAUGUGACCCCACAAGUAAAGCGAGCUCAGGGGGCACACUUUUUCAUCCAUCUAUCAACAAACCUGGCCUUCGCCUUACGUGCUGAAAGGGCUGCCCAGCCCCAAAGAUCUCUAUGAAGAGAUUUCCAUGGGCCAUUGCAUACUGAUAUGAGCAACCUCGGAGAUUUUAAGGCAGUUUCUCUUCAAUGCAUCUUUGUUGAUUCAAGAAGUUGCAGUCUACUUUUUACUAGCAGGACUCACUGAAGUCAACCCACUUCACCUAGGUCAUACCAAUAAUGUGGGAUAUGGCCAGGAUCAUUGCUUCUCCAGGUCUACCCAGAUCAAGCAAUAAGUGAGAUAAACUGAACUUGAUUUUUCUACCUCCUUUCUGAGAAUUUAUUAAAAAAAAAAAAAAAAAGGAAAUUUCCUGAGGUUUUAGCCUUUAUUUACAAGAAAA